GGCUCGGCCAUCGUCGCCGUCAUCUCUCUGUCGGCGGCAGAAAAGAAGCAAGGGAAGGCCAGAGCACAAGAGGGCUGCGGAGGCGUCAUCGCGAACACACAUACACACCUGCCCUCACCCCCACCAGUAUAUUUCUCUACCUUGUGCAUGUACGCAUCUCUUCUGUAUGAAUGUCUUCGGGUGCGGUGCGGGUGACGUGAUGGCAGUGGAGCGGGGAAGAGCCUGAGGAACGGAAGGAGAAAGGGAGGUGGUGGGGGGACGCUGUGUGGUGCCUCCUCAUUACUGCUUCUUUUGGACCCCUCCUCCCUCCUUCCUCCUUCCUCCUUCACCCACCACCACGAAUGCCUUUCUUCACGCCCGCUCCGCCUCCCUCUGCGUGUUCGCUGCUGCUCGACGCCUGCCACGCUCACGCACAUACGCACACCUCGUGAAACCCGGCAUAAUGCCAAAGGCGAAACAAAACAAAUAAAAAAAGAAAACAGGAAAACAUGUAUAAACGCCAGGGAAAUGCAGGAGGGGAGAGAGAGUAGUUGCGUUGCAGGGGUUCCUUUUUCCCUACCCUCUCCUCCCCACCCACUCGCCCUGUCCCCGUGGCCACGGCAUCCUCUGCUUCUUUCGUGCGUUGCCUGCCUGCCUGUGUGUGUGUGUGUGUGUGUGUGUGUCUUUUUUCUUCGUGUGGUGACCUUUGUGCGACCGGGCAAGGCACACGCGUGCCGGUAUUCCAAAUGGGGAAAGCUGAAGAGCUGUGAACACGGAUAACAAACUACACGAGGAUUCAGAAGAGGGCAUGCUGGGGUGGAAGUGUAUGGGCGUGCAGCAGAUCGGGCAGCGGAGUUCACGCAAAGCAAUGGCCAGCACACGAGCCUCCUCCCCUCCCACCCACACACACACACCGCCACCACCAUUCGAUGACCAGUACUACUAGUGAGUACUUCUGUGAGAGAAGAUAGAGCAUUUGACGGCCUUCAGACACGAUGCGCACGCGGCGGAUCGAAGUAAAAGACGCGCCUCCGGGUGGGAAACUAGGUGUCCAUCGACUACAGGGGGAGGGCUCAAGAAGCGAAAGGGAAAGUGGUGAUGGUGCUUGCGGCGACAUCCGCGCUGGCAUUGUGCAGUGCCUCUCUCCCUUUUUCCUUCUUCAUCCGUCUCUCUCUCUCUCCGUCGAUCGCUGAGCGGGUAGCUCACAUCACCGGCUAUG
rnacentral:misc_RNA from 1 species